rnacentral:rRNA from 1 species
AGAGUUUGAUCCUGGCUCAGGACGAACGCUGGCGGCGCGCCUAACACAUGCAAGUCGAACGAGCGAGAGAGAGCUUGCUUUCUCGAGCGAGUGGCGAACGGGUGAGUAACGCGUGAGGAACCUGCCUCAAAGAGGGGGACAACAGUUGGAAACGACUGCUAAUACCGCAUAAGCCCACGGGUCGGCAUCGACCAGAGGGAAAAGGAGCAAUCCGCUUUGAGAUGGCCUCGCGUCCGAUUAGCUAGUUGGUGAGGUAACGGCCCACCAAGGCGACGAUCGGUAGCCGGACUGAGAGGUUGAACGGCCACAUUGGGACUGAGACACGGCCCAGACUCCUACGGGAGGCAGCAGUGGGGAAUAUUGCACAAUGGGGGAAACCCUGAUGCAGCGACGCCGCGUGGAGGAAGAAGGUCUUCGGAUUGUAAACUCCUGUUGUUGAGGAAGAUAAUGACGGUACUCAACAAGGAAGUGACGGCUAACUACGUGCCAGCAGCCGCGGUAAAACGUAGGUCACAAGCGUUGUCCGGAAUUACUGGGUGUAAAGGGAGCGCAGGCGGGAAGACAAGUUGGAAGUGAAAUCUAUGGGCUCAACCCAUAAACUGCUUUCAAAACUGUUUUUCUUGAGUAGUGCAGAGGUAGGCGGAAUUCCCGGUGUAGCGGUGGAAUGCGUAGAUAUCGGGAGGAACACCAGUGGCGAAGGCGGCCUACUGGGCACCAACUGACGCUGAGGCUCGAAAGUGUGGGUAGCAAACAGGAUUAGAUACCCUGGUAGUCCACACCGUAAACGAUGAUUACUAGGUGUUGGAGGAUUGACCCCUUCAGUGCCGCAGUU